ensembl:snRNA LOC120099560 U6 spliceosomal RNA
AUGCUCGCUUUGGCAGCAUAUAUACUAAAAUUGGAAUGAUACAGAAAAGAUUAGCAUGGUCCCUGCGCAAGGAUGAUACACAAAUUCAUGAAGCAGUCCAUACUUUU